rnacentral:lncRNA from 1 species
GAUAGAGCCACAGCAUGGCUAAGAUACAAUGCGCUCCGACAGACCACACAGCUCUCGCAACUCACAAGCUGGAGCGACGUCCUCUACGGCCCACUCAACCCUGCUCUUCAUCCAACGAUGAGCCUCACAACCUCAGUUAAAGUCUCCUCGGAUAUCCCAUAGCUCAUACUGAGAUCCUUAAUACUGUGGUACAUUUGGGUCAAUAAAUGCGCGUUUGACAGAGAUCGCGCACCCUACCACACAGGGCUGGUACUAUACAAAGCUUGGACGACGACAAUCCAUAUAGGAAUGGAAGCAUGGAGGGAUAUACACCGACACAACAGCACCCCCGAAACCCAGACAACAAAAAUUAAAAUAUUCACACAACUUUGGACCGUGGGCAACAUAUUCUCAUCAAGGACCGCCAACGACCUCACCUGGCACCUUGUUCCACCUCCAGCCCUGCUCCCCGAAGAUCUUGCGAGACACCCUCAUGUACCGGUAACACGACGGCCAACAUCAACCACCCCGGAUCAUCAAUCUCCGUCUUUACGACGGCCAAUACCAACCACCCCAGAUCAUCAAUCCCCGUCUUCACGACAACCAACACCAACCACCCCAGAUCAUCAAUCGUCGUCUUCUUCUGACAACAUCCUCAGAACAGCCGCAAGUCUAAGAACAUCAACGGACACAGCAACGUCCACCAACGAGGAGCUAAACCUAGGGAUCCAGCAGCUGUUUAAAGAAAUUGAACAAGAAAGGCGCAAUCAAAACGGUCAACAGAUCAUCACACACCCCCAUCCUCCCGAGGCCACCCUCUCCCUACGGCAACAACUCAUACACUAUGCUCGAAAUCACCAAACAGCGACGGCACCAGAUCUGCAACUCUACAUUUACGCGACCAUGGCGUACACGGAUAUAACGGAUGAAGAC